rnacentral:lncRNA from 1 species
UCUCACAUAUUAUUCUUCACUAUGUUCUCUCUCCUGACAAAAAAACCGUCAUUCUCUUGCCUUUUUUACCCAAUCGGCGCGGACAAAGAACUGGAGAUUGACGGCCGACCUUUAUUCCUCACUGAAAUCUAACGCGGAUCGUCCAUUAUUUCAUGGGAGAAAGUUGAUUGUAGGGGACCGCCCAUCCUCCCACUUUUUUCGUCGUUGUCCCGUCGACCACUCAUUCUUACUCAGUUUAUCGUCACCGACCUCCCAUUUCCUCCUCAACAAUAGCGCCGUUGAAUAUGCCACCCUCCGCUCCUCCCCAAACGAUACAUUGUCAUUAUGGAAAACAACCGCGACGAAAAAUAGAUAGGAAGUUGCAAAUCCUUCUCGCAAUGUGAACAAUCCAAGGAAUGGAACCAACAACACCAGUUUGAUUCAAGUGUAAAGGUUAGUUUACAUUCUUAAUUACUGAUUCCUACUUAUUUUUACUUGUUCUUUGCAGAAAUUUUCCUUAAUACGAUUUUUUCAACGGUGAAGGCUCUUUCUCAUUCUUGUUGUUCAGUGUGGACAUGUUGUUUCUGUGUACCUAUUUAUCAUACCGUUGCAGGUUGCUCUUUUUUUUUUUUUGUUACAUUGCAAAUUUUCAAUUUAUUCACAAUCGGUUUUGAGUUUUUGUUAACUAAAAGAUUUGGCGAUUACCAUUAUUAUAGAUGGACCGUAAUGUCUAGCAAUCUUAAAUUCGUACAUGGUAUUAGUAAUGAAUAAGUAGGAUUCUAUGGGGAACAAUGUGUGCUUAAAGUUUAAUUAUGGAUCAAAUAGUGACUUGAUGUGUACAGAUUGUGGUUCGAAACACGACAUAUCCAUAAAAUUUGGAUUGGAAUUUGGGGAUUGGAGAUUUAAAGAGCAGACCUUGUAGAUUAGUAUUUGUAUAACCUUGUAUGGAGUAACAAUUAAAUUGUUUAAUUUUUUUUUAUAGAUUCUAAGACUAGGGUAC